rnacentral:sRNA from 1 species
AACUAGCCCUAAUUGGAGCGGCAUCCUUUUUUGGUGGCUGAGGUUACGAAGCCACCAAAAAAGAUACAGCGGAAAGCAGGUUCCCGG